rnacentral:rRNA from 1 species
AUUGAACGCUGGCGGCAGGCCUAACACAUGCAAGUCGGACGGUAGCACAGAGAGCUUGCUCUUGGGUGACGAGUGGCGGACGGGUGAGUAAUGUCUGGGGAUCUGCCCGAUAGAGGGGGAUAACCACUGGAAACGGUGGCUAAUACCGCAUAACGUCGCAAGACCAAAGAGGGGGACCUUCGGGCCUCUCACUAUCGGAUGAACCCAGAUGGGAUUAGCUAGUAGGCGGGGUAAUGGCCCACCUAGGCGACGAUCCCUAGCUGGUCUGAGAGGAUGACCAGCCACACUGGAACUGAGACACGGUCCAGACUCCUACGGGAGGCAGCAGUGGGGAAUAUUGCACAAUGGGCGCAAGCCUGAUGCAGCCAUGCCGCGUGUAUGAAGAAGGCCUUCGGGUUGUAAAGUACUUUCAGCGGGGAGGAAGGCGGUGAGGUUAAUAACCCCACCGAUUGACGUUACCCGCAGAAGAAGCACCGGCUAACUCCGUGCCAGCAGCCGCCGUAA